UGGGGAAUCUUGCGCAAUGCGCGAAAGCGUGACGCAGCAACGCCGCGUGGGCGAAGACGGCCUUCGGGUUGUAAAGCCCUUUCAGUUGGGACGAAGCUUUGCCGGUGAAUAGCCGGUUGGAGUGACGGUACCUUCAGAAGAAGCCCCGGCUAACUACGUGCCAGCAGCCGCGGUAAUACGUAGGGGGCAAGCGUUGUCCGGAAUCAUUGGGCGUAAAGCGCGUGUAGGCGGUUUGGUAAGUCUGCUGUGAAAGUCCAGGGCUCAACCCUGGAAUGCCGGUGGAUACUGUCGAACUAGAGUCCGGAAGAGGCGAGUGGAAUUCCUGGUGUAGCGGUGAAAUGCGCAGAUAUCAGGAGGAACACCAAUGGCGAAGGCAGCUCGCUGGGACGGUACUGACGCUGAGACGCGAAAGCGUGGGGAGCAAACAGGAUUAGAUACCCCGGUAGUCC
rnacentral:rRNA from 1 species